UUGAAUCAUGGAAGUAAUGCAUGAAUGCAUCAAGUAAUCCGGAUCAGAAUAGUAAAACCAAAGAAGCACAACUUUUAUUCCCGCAGAUAGUCUUAGCCUAGGUUACAUAAAUUAAUGCAUGAAUGCAUGAGCAGCAGCUGCAUGCAAUAUUAUUGAACCCAAAUCACAACAAAAGGAAAACUUAAGACAAUGCCACUUUCGCAGGGAACGCGAUUGCAUUUAGCGUAUGCAACAAGCCUUUUAAACCUAUAGGUGACCCUGAUAGGACGAGUGAAGUCUCGUGAGGGUUUCCAGUGACGCUACCCACAAACAUCGUAUUAACUUAACAGGAUGAUCAUCCUGGAAGUUUUUCGACAAUGAAGAAAUGUUCAUGGGUGGGGCCUCCAGGUUCUGCAAUGAGGGCAUUUUCGAACUCGUUUCCAGAUUUUGGCUUUAAAAGGUUUCCCAUUUUCUCAUGGUGGAACUUGUAUAUGCCUUCGGUGUACGGUCCUGGUGGUUUCACAACCUCAGGCUUGAAGAGUGUACAUGACCACAGCGUUUUAUUUGGCUGUUUCUCGUCAGCCCCGGCCACAAUCCACGAACUGUCUUGGCUUGCCGUUAUCCAGUAUUUGUCGUUGUAGGUGGAUUUUAUAUGCACCAGACUGGGGAGGUUUACGUCCUUCUCCACUUUGAACCUUGCGUAUUUGCUCUGAACAUCCUCUCCGGAGCAUUGGAGAAUAUCUUGCAUCUUUUCGGUGGCUUGGUCUUUGUAGACCAAGUAUUUACCGCUCGUGAAUGAUUUAAGAGCAAUGAACUUUGGUAAUUCUGCCAUUUCUGAUGAUCUCUCGCUCGCGCUUCAAUUUUUUUUUAUGUAAACUCACUUCUCUCUCUCUCUCUCGUUGCUUAUUGCUUUUCCUAACUCCAACCUGCUGUGCUAUUUAUAAUCAAGCAAACCCAAACCCUGCAUGCAGCUCUGGCUUCUUUUUCUUGCUGUACUGGCCCGCGAUAAGAAAAUUGAAGCCACAAAAAAAAAAAGUCGAGCCAGGUGGCAGUUUUGAAAGGUCAAGUAAUAUUGUUCUUGAUAUAAAACAAACUAAAGCGUGCUCCACGUCUUCAAAUAAAACAAAGUUAAGGCUAGUAAUUAUCGACAUCGAUAUUUUGCGAUAUUAUCGUCGAUAUUGUCAAUAUUUAUACGAUAUGUACAUGGAUAUGUUUCGAAAUAUCCGUGAUUCAAAAAAACCGAAAUAUCCUCGAUAUUUCCUCGAUAUUAUCGAUAUUUCAGACUAUGAUGUGAACUUGAUUAUGUAAUUUCUACUACAUGCACUUAUGGGACAUAACCAUUUAUCAAUUAUAAUAAUGUCACAUAAAAAUUGAAGCCACAAAAAAAAAAAAGUCAAGCCAGGUGGCAGUUUUGAAAGGUCAAGUAAUAAUGUUCUUGAUAUAAAACAAACUAAAGCGUGCUUCACGUCUUCAAAUAAAACAAAGUUAAGCCUAGUAAUCUAUUCUCUGUUGUAAUGUGAACUUGAUUAUGUAAUUUCUACUACAUGCACUUAUGGACAUAACCAUUUAUCAAUUAUAAUAAUGUCAUCGACUAGGACUGAACAGCGACGGCUGAAGGCCCAGCUCAUUCUUAAUCUUAGGCAACACAUGUGCUGGGUUUCAUUUCAUAAAUUCAUAACCAAACCAAGCUAGGUCAUAGAAGGAAGCAAAUUAAGCAAUUGAAAUCCACAUCGGCUGAAAAAAUCUCUCUUGAAAAACCAUAUAAUUGGAGGGUCUGCAAAACUAGACUGUGUGUACGUAGCCAACUUUAUUAAAAUGCCAAUUCAAGUCCUAUGAACACACAUUUCCUUGAAAGUUGCUGGCCAAAUUUUCUUUGUUUUGGUUUUCAAUGAGUUCGAUUUCCUUGAGCAUCACUGAAAAGAUAUUAUAUAUGUGAAAUCUUUUUGUCAGUCUUUGAAUUUACCCAAUGUGGGUGAUCAAUUUUUAUGAUUGCAUUCUAGACUUCUCCUUAGUACAAAACAAAACUACGUGAUUGAUUGAAACGUCAUUAAUUAAUUUAGACAUAUAGGCAUUUGCAUUAAUUCAUUCUAGAUAGUAGAUACACAUCUCCAUAACGCAGAAAGAAUUAGCAUGUCCUUAAUGUGAACUUCGUUAAUAAAUUGAAGAGGAGUUGGAGAACAGUUAGAUGAAUGAAUUAAAGAGGAGUUGGAGAGACGCGGAUGCAAGGGCACACUAAGAAAACUACAGGGUUUAUUUAUAGUUUUAGUGCUAAUAAUGGGUAUAUGACUAAAUAUCUCUAUAAAAAAAAUUAGUGAAUUUAAUCAGAAUGUAAUGACUUAUAGAAUUUUACCUUGGGGCACUUUAAGUCCGUUCCUCCUUAAUAAAGCAUCACUUAAUAGAUUUGAAUUAUGAGCUGAACCCUCCCACCCGCUAAAAACGUAAAUGAAUUCUAAAUCAAAGUUACAAGCUACUGAAACCAUUUAUCAAUUAUAAUUAUGUCAUUAAUUAGGAUUGAACAAUAUGAUUGUAAUGCCAUUUCUAAAGCGUGCUUCACGUCUUCAAAUAAAACAAAGUUAGGCCUAGUAUUUUCUUCUUUAUUGUUUCGGUGCUUAAUGUGAACUUCAUUAUGUAACUUCUAUUACUUGUACUUAAGGGCCAUAGCCAUUUAUCAAAUUAUAAUGAUGUCAUUAAUUAGGAUUGAACAACAAGGUCGUUGAGAUGUUUACAUACUUUAAUUACAGACAUAUGAUAAGUUUAGGAGAGUGAUAUGUAGUUUCAAUUAUUCCUUUCACACAUACCCUAAACUUUAAACCCUAAACCCCUUUCUCUUAAGCAAAAUCUAUCGGUUUUGGGUAAGUUUGAGACACUUGUGGACGAUUGUUUUUAAUUUGGACCCUAUGAAAAUACCUGUAGGAUGUCUAUAUAAAUACCUAGAGAAGGUUAAAUAGGCUAAUUCGAUUUUUGCAAUGAAUAAUAAUCAACUUUUGAAGUAGGAUUGAUAUGAGUUAUCAAUCCUGAAAUGUGCAGAGCUUAAAAUAAAAGAACACACAGAUAUUUAUUUUACGUGGUAAAACCCCACAUCUGGGGAAAAUCCACGGGACUCCUUAGUCCAGAACGAAUCCACUAUAGAAUUGAGAUUACAAGAAGUUCUCACACACACUUAUCCUAGACUCAAUGUUUACCGACUUAUUCAUAAUGUUUACCGACUUAUUCAUAACUCAACUUUUGUCAUGGGAUGAUCUUCGACACUCCUUAUGUUGAACGCAAUAUUGGUCACGAUUGCUUCAAGCUCACCGGAGGAUAAACGCCACAAACGUCUUGAUGCCCUUGACCGUAUGAGCCACUGACAUGCAUAUGUAUGCAAUAUGAAUGAUGAAUGAGUUUGAUAAAUCACCAAGCAACCAGGAGCCCUUGAUGACUUACCGAGAAAAAUAAGUACAGUAGCUUUUCCAAAAAACAGAUUCAAUAUGCUCUCAAAAUCAAUGCGUUGAAAUGCUACACUAUGAAAAGAAGACACCUUGGUUUUAUUCAAAACAGGUUCUCUCAGUCAAGAGAAACCUACUUGACCACCAAUCCAAUUCACGAAAGACUUUCAACCUUAUUCAACUACCACACAACAAAACCUGAUGCAAUAUGGACACUAGUUAAACAUGUCAAACAGGAGACCACUCAUACUGUUCAAGCAUGAAUGUUUCUUUUGAUUCAAUUUACAUGCUAUGUGAUGAUGCCAGCUAAUGCACGAUGUGAGGAAACCUCAUGACUUUCUACUACAGCCAAUCCUUUAAAACAAUAUCUACCUAACAAAUUAAUUAGACCGAUCAAGUAGGAAAUAAUAUCAAGAGAUAAAAUAUAAUCUUAUUGAAAAUAGGAUUAACAUAAAAAUACUUGAGUGAAAAUAAUUUCAAUUAGGAGUCCUAUAAUGAAUGCAUGAUUAUGUUAUGAUUUACCUGUUGUCAAGUUUCUCAUAUGGUCAGGUCAUGCCUCGGAAGUAUAGGGUUGAGAGAGUUGUGCCAAAGCGUCCAGUAACAAUUCCUCACAAACUAAUUUUCAACUUAUGCUAAAGUCUAGGAAAUGCCAAUACGAUUUUCGUACUAACACCCUACAAACAAAUAAAUUAAAGAAAAAAAAGUAAAAGAAGAAAAGAAUAUAAAUUCAUAUAUCUCAAUUUCUUGUGUGAAGCUUUUAAAUUCAUUUCAAAACUAAAAUUAAAAUUUAUUUGUUUUGGUUUUCAAUAAGAUUAAGUUGGAUUUCCUAAAGCAUCAUCACUGAUCUGAUGGCAUCAGAUAAGUCUUUGAAUUACCUAAUGUGAUUGAUUGAUUGGAAUGUAUCCUUAAUACUAAAAAAAAACCAUGUGAUCGACACGUCAUUGAGCACUUCCACUCUAUCGGCAAGGGCAAGGCAAGAGCAAGAGUUUAGGAUAAGAUUUUUAGUUGCCACUUGUCCAUAUUUAUUAUAACAUUCACAUCUCAAAUUUCAUAUAAAAUUUUCGAAUAAGAUUUUCGAUUGCCACGUAUCCAUAUUUAUUAUAAAAUUCACAUUUCACUCAUCAUACAAUUGAAAUACUUGUUCACUCAUCAUACAAUUGAAGAUAUCAAGAAAUUUCGAAAAUUGGGCAUCCACUUUGUUUUUUCGAAGACGUUGAGGGAACGGAAUUGGCGGUACAUAUGGCUUUACAAGGGCAGCAGGUUGAGAUAAUUUCUCUACAGUAGCAGGUUCAAUUUCUGGAGAAAUUUCAUCAAGUUGUGCAGUAGUUCCAGCAGUAAUAGACGACGACGACGGCACGUUAGUAAUUUCUGAUGUCUCUGCAGUUUGUUGAUGGAUAUUCUUUUCUUCAUCCAAGUCUACUGCUGUUUUUAUUGGCCUCCCAUUCCAAAGAGUUAUCGCCCUCGCAUGUUCUUGGUUUUUCGGAUUAUUCUCUGUUUGGCUUGGCAAAGCUCCAUUUACUCUUCCUGUCAAUACAUUAGCUAGCUGGCCCAUCUGAACCUCCAAGUUUCGAAUAGAGGCAGCUUGGUUCUGAAGGGUCGUCUCGGUUUUGCUCAUAAAUUGAUUUGUAUUGACAGAGAGAGUGUUGACAUUUCCAGCAAGUUGAGUAAUUAUAUCCUCCAAUCCAUGCUUCUUUUCUUGAGGUGUGAAAUCAGGUGGAGGUCCCUGUACAUUUUGGUUAUUACUCCAUGGAAAAUUCGGAUGGUUCUUCCAUCCUGGGUUAUAAGUGUUGGAGUAAGGAUUAUUCCGUUGUCGAUUAAAAUUAGAGACUUGGUUCACUUGUUCAGAUGGUGAUGUGAAUGGACUAGCUCCACACUCAUUGCCAUGAUGAGGUCCUGCACAAAAUUCACAACUUAAAUUAGUAUACUGAAUAGCAUUAACAUUUAUAGUACCAAGUUGUUUAGACAUAGUAGAAAUUUGCGCAGUUAACGCAGAUAUGGCGUCAAUCUCAUGAAUUCCAGCUUUCUUUGGUGUUGAUCUCUCACUAGGCCAUUGAUAGUUAUUUGACGCCAUCUCUUCCAGCAAGUUAUACGCUUUAGUUUCUGUUUUUCCCAUCAAAGCUCCUCCGGCUGCAGCAUCAAUUGUUGUUUUGCUUGUAUUGUUCAAACCAUUGUAGAACGCUUGAACUUGCAUCCAAGUAGGUAGGGCAUGAUGUGGGCACUUCCUUAGCAUAUCCUUGUAUCUGUCCCAUGCUUCAUAAAAAGGUUCCAUGUCAUUCUGAGCAAAUGACAUGAUGUCAUUUCUGAGUUUCGCAGUCUUUGCAGGAGGAAAGAAUUUAGCUAAAAAUUUCUUGGCCAAGUCGUCCCAUGUAGUAAUCGAAUUAGGUGGUUGAGAAUUCAACCAUGACUUUGCCUUUUCCUUUAAUGAGAAAGGAAAAAGCCUUAAGCGAACAGCAUCAUUGGUAGCUCCAUUGCGCUUAAAUGUGUCACAUAUCUCCAAGAAAUUAGAGAUAUGCCUAUUAGGGUCUUCUUGAGGUAAACCACAAAAGAUGGAGGAUUGUUGAAUCAUUGAAAUUAUGGCUGGUCUGAUUUUAAAAUUAUUGGCAUCAAUGGUUGGACGACGAAUGCUCGAUGGUGAUGCCACCACAGAUGGGACAUCAUAGUCCCUUACUGGUUUUGCUUCCACAGCCAUAGGUGAUGGCUUUUCCAAUAUUGCGUCCUUGCCCCUUUUGAGUUUGUUAAGCUUGUGAAGUGUUCGCUCGAUCUCUAGAUCUAAUGGUACAAGCACAAGACUCUGCGAACGUCUCCCAAAACUCAUGCACUAGGUGAAGUACCUAAAAAAACAAAAAACAAAAUUCAAAUUAAAAUUCAAAUCAAUCUAUAUCGAUAUUAAUAAAAUUUAAAACACUCUCCGACGGCGGCGCCAAAAACUUGUUGUGAUAUUUAUUGCAAGCGCACAAUUCGCACAAGUAAUAUAGUGAUGAGUGAAGUGUCGUUCCCACGAAGAGUGAUUUAAUUUAACAAGUACCGAUUGUGAUUAACCCAAGACUUUAUUUGAACAAUUGAUGAUGAGAUUUGAUUGAUUAAUUAACUAAAACAAUGAAUAAAAACAAGCGUAGAAAAAUAAAGUAGUGAGAUUCAAGUUAUGAGAGCACUAGAGCUUCCGAUUUCACCAUAGCCAAUUCUACCCAAUUCCUUUAGCAUGUUAAUCCUAAUUAUUCUCUAUGUUGACAGUUGAUUUUCCCUACUUUAUUCGAUACUCCAUCCCUGGUUAUACCAAAAGUAUUCUUAUUACCAACCCACUCUAUCCCUAGUAAUGGAAUUAAGAUAAUAAGAACCCAUUAAAUUCCUUGGAAAACCUACAAAACAACCACAUAAGUCAUGACAAACAUCUCUGUCUAAUCAUGUAACUCAUGACAUCUAUUACAAGAAGCAACCCCAAAUUGGAUAUUCCUAUUUUCAAUUUAGCAUCAAAACAAUUAAAUGUUGGCCAAACAUUCAAAGCAUUAAGCAUGGUAAUAAAUACUCAACAUGGAAAAAAUACUUGGAAUUAACAUCGACUAAAGUAAUUGAGCAUUCAUGGCUAGGCUACAUCGUAGCCCUAGCAAGAAGAAAUUAGUUCAUGACAACUUUAAUAAAAACCAUGAUAAAUAGUAUCAUAGGAAAGAAGUAACCAAUUGAAGAUUUGAUCUCUGCACGACAGCAACUCUAGCUCCAGGUUGUCUUCUUUGUCUCUCUAAAACUCUCUCAACAAUAGAUGAUGGGUAGAUGAUGGAGGAUGGAUGAUGGGUAAUGGAUCCUUUCAACAAUGACCUAAACUCCCUAUUUAUAAAACUCCUAGAAAUCCUACCUAAAGAAUAAUUACAAUUGUUAUAAAAAUAGGAUUCCUUCUAAAAUAAGGUCUUCUUUAUUUCUCCUUGUUUAACUUGAUAAGACUUGCACCAUCUUGAACUAGGAAAUUUGACAACAUUCCUUGCAACAAAAGGAAUGACUUGGCUUCUUUUUUUAUUGAUUUUCAUCUCCUUGCCUUUUUUAGCACACUUUCUCCUAUUUCACAAUUCCUUCACAAAUCUCACAAAACUAAUUAAAAACAACCAAUUUAAUCCAAGAAAUUAAUAAAUAAAUAAGCAAAGGAGGCAUAAAAUAUAUAUAAAAUAUAGACUUAUCAAAUACCCCCAAACCUGUCUUUUGCUAGUCCUCGAGCAAAACUGAAAAUCAAAAAUAAAUUAAAACAAACAAACUAAAUUAAACCACUUUUGCAGGUAAUCUCGAUGGCACUUAGCAUGUGCCACAAGCCUUUAAACCUCUAGGUGCCCCUAGUAGGAGGAGUUGUGUCUCUUGAGGGUUUACCAGUCAUGACACCCACAGACACUUCUUGCAAAACAAAUUCGUUAAAGCAAUACUUCCAACAAACUAAUAAUAACCAAUGAAUGCUAAUCACAAUUCAAAAACUAAAGUUAUGCCACUACAAAUAAAAUGCACCAUAGUGUAAAGUGUAAAGUGUAAAGCCAAAAAUCCAACAUUGAAACAUAAAGAUAACCACAUUAGGCGUGUGUACAAAUUCGUCUCGACUCUAGGCCUUACUGGAUAACUCUCAAUUUUCUCACAGAACCUAGGGUUGCACUCUUACCCCGCAUAUGUGAAUAAAGUUAGGUGAAGAAUUCAAAAUAUAAGACACAUAUGCAUCCAAGAAUCAAUAAAAGGAAAUUUCUAACAAUAGAUCUCAUGGAAAGGAAAUCAAAUACUAAAAACCAUAGAUGAAGUACAUACCUCUACUUCCGAGUAAGAAGUCCCCAAAAAUCCGUUAGGUCUUUACUAUGGUUGUAAUGAAGGGCUAGGUUAUGGGUUAUGAAAGAAAAGGAAGGAAAUACUAGAACUUGAGACAUGCCAAGGCAUUUAUCACGUUAUAAGGCUCGGCUCUUCAAAUUUACUUCACAGAGGCGUCCAGGAUUUUUGAUAUGCUUCACAUUUUUUUUUCUUUAAUAGAUUUCUCUUUUUUUUUUUCCUUUCUUUUUAUUUAUUUAUUUAUUUUUAAGCACAUAUUUCCUCGGUACACGCCACCUCUUUUGUUAAUUUAGAGAUUAACCUUCAUCCUUGUCUUCAUGCCAUGGCAUAUCCCAAGUUAUAGGGUAUGGCUAAAAAUAGGGUGAAAAGGGUAAGAAAAUAUUGUGGGUGAUGAAAGAAAAGGCUAAGUGUUUGGCUUCAAAGGGUUGAUGGCACACACAAUGGGUAGGACAUGAGUUUUUAUUUAGUGGCUAGAACAUGCAUAGCCUAACAUCAUUUCUCAAGGUCCAUCCAACUCAAAAGUAAAAGCAUGAGAUGAUUCCAAAAUAGAGAGUAGUUCUUAGUAUUCAACUCAAAAGCCUAAUUGAGAUCAAUUUAAAUAAGAAAGAAAGAAAAUAGUGAAUAAGACUAAUCCCAAAUACUCUCUCAAUGAAUGGCAAUUUGGCUCAAGUAUCUCACAAUGGUAGUCUCCACUAUUUCUCCACAAUCAUCCAAGUAUAGCUAGCUUGUCUAUUAAAAUACUUGAAGCAUGGCCAUGUGAAGUGCUAUACUUAUGAUGCAUAAACUUUCAUGGCAACACUUUAGUUAAAGAAAUAUGAUCAAACAUCACAUAUACAUCACUAUUAGUAAGAGAAAGUAAAAGCUUUAACAAAUUUUUUUUUUUUUUUUAAAAAGUUAAAGGCAUUUUGUGAUUUUUUUCAAACAAAUGUGAGUGAAUUUAUGGGCCAUAAUUGCUUAGGGAUAAAGAAAUUUCAUCAAAAGGAAGAGGACACACCUGGAAUAGCUCCUAGAAACCUCUGAUCACAAAUGGAAUGGAUCAUAAUUGAUUUGGAAUGAAAUUAGAAAAUUCUGGAAAAUUGACCUUUAGCGACGAAAAAUCUGAUGAAACACCGUCGCUAAAAACCCUUUUGUGACGAAAAAUCUUCAUAUUCUGGGUAGGUAGCAGCUAGUCUUUUUUGGGUUUUAGGCCACUUUUUUAGCUUCAAAUCUCCCUAAAACGUCAUGUAAAGCACUUGAGACCCCCAAAACAGUUUCAAAUCAUCAUAAUAACCAUUCUAAACAUGUUGGUGGCUUCAAAUUUGCCUGAAAAACAUCAAAAAGGAAAAUAUGUAAAAUUUUUAAUUUUGACCAAAAUAAGAACAUAAUAACCUAUUUUGCUAUUUUCUGGGUUUUAAAGUCAUCUAAUGGCCAAAACAACAUCUGGAACAUGUUUGCAAUCAUCACGGGGCUAGAAAAAAUCGAGAAAUGUUCUUUGAAACACAAAAUCCUUUCUUUGGAACACAAAAUCUUUUUUUCUUUUUUUUUUCUUUAUGACUCAAAACUCAAACAAAAAACAACUAAACUCCACACCCCCAAAUCUAAAUUAAGCAUUGUCCUCAAUGUUUAAAGUAAAUGCAUGUAAAAAUUAGUAAAGGCAUAGAAGGAUGGAAAAUAAAGGGAAAACAAAACAAAAUAAAAUAAAAAGGAACGAAGGUACCUAGUUGGGUUGCCUCCCAACAAGCGCUUGAUUUAUAGUCCCCAGCCCGACUUGCGAGGUCAUCACUUUGGAUCAUGUAGAGGAAUGAAAGUUCGCUGUUGAUCAAAAUUGACUUCCAAGUAUGGCUUCACUCAUUGGCCAUUUACUUUGAAAAUAGUACCUUGUUCGUCAUGCCUAACCUCAAUAACUCCAGAAGGAAAUACUUGCACUAUUGUAAAUGGUCCAGACCAACGUGAUUUCAACUUCCCGGGAAAGAGUCGGAGGCGGGAAUUAAAUAGGAGAACUUUCUAACCAGCGAAGAAAUCCUUCCUUAGAAUAUGCUUAUCAUGCCAUUUCUUUGUACGCUCCUUGUAUAUCUUGGAAGUCUCAUAAGCUUCAUUACAAAACUCAUCCAUAUCAUUCAAUUGAAUUGCCCGUUUUUCUCCUGCUGCAAUCAUGUCAAAAUUGAGUGUUUGGAGUGCCCAAUGUGCCUUAUGUUCGAGCUCAACCGGUAAGUGACAAGCUUUCCCAAAAACUAGACGAUAAGGAGACAUGCCAAUUGGUGUUUUGAACUCCGUUCGAUAGGCACAUAAGGCAUCAUCCAAUUUCAGUGACCAAUCCUUUCUUGAAGCACUCACCGUCUUUUCCAAAAUUCGUUUUAAUUCUCUAUUGGAAACUUCAACUUGUCCACUAGUUUGUGGAUGAUAGGGAGUAGUAACCUUGUGGGUAAUACCAUAUUUAGCUAAAAGAUAAUUAAAUUGACGAUUGCAAAAGUGUGUACCUCUGUCACUGAUGAUGCCACGCGGAGUCCCGAAUCUGGUGAAAAUAUUUUUUUGGACAAAUUUGACAACCACCUUGGCGUCAUUGGUAGGGAGAGCGACGGCUUCAACCCAUUUCGACACAUAAUCAACAGCCACCAAUAUGUACUUGUUCUUCCAAGAUUCAGGGAAAGGUCCCAUGAAAUCUAUUCCCCAGACAUCGAACAAUUCAACCUCUAGAAUAUUAUUCAAUGGCAUCUGAUUUCUGCUAGAAAUAUUUUCAGUGCGUUGGCAUCGAUCACAGGCAGCUACAAAUGCAUAGGCAUCCUUGAACAAAGUUGGCCAAAAAAAUCCAGAUUGUAAUACCUUGGCUGCUGUUUUGGAGGCACCAAAAUGCCCCCCACAUGCCAAUGUGUGGCAAUGUCGCAAUAUGUCUUCCAUCUCCUCCUCAGGCACACAUCUCCGUAUAACUUGGUCAGGGCAAUGUUUCCACAAAUAUGGGUCGUCCCAAUAAUAAUGUUUAACCAAGGAGAAAAACUUCUUCUUCUGAUGAAACGAUAAAUCAGCUGGAAUGAUAGUACUAGCUAAAUAAUUCACAAAGUCAGCGUACCAAGGAGCUUCGGAUGAUCGAAUGGCAUACAAGUGUUCAUCAGGGAACAUCUCCAUAAUGGGUGCAGCAUCAUCACUCAUCUUUACCUCACUGACCAGCCGCGAAAGAUGGUCAGCUACCACGUUUUCGGACCCCUUUUUGUCUCGAAUUUCAAGAUCAAAUUCUUGGAGCAGUAGUACCCAGCGAAUUAAUCGUGGUUUUGCAUCUUUCUUCGAAAGUAAAUACUUUUAUCCAAGGAGAAGAUUACUACUAACAAUUCUUUCUCCGUGGUGGUAUAAUUCCGCUGGGCGUCAUUCAAAGUACGACUGGCAUAAUAAAUUACAUGAAGUAAUUUAUUUCUUCUUUGACCCAAAACUGCCCCUACCGCAUAGUCACUAGCAUCACACAUAAUCUCAAAAGGCAAGUCCUAAUCCGGUGCGACAAUGACAGGUGCAGAAGUAAGCUUCUCUUUCAAGACAUUAAAAUUAAAUUCUACAUCUUUAAGAAGGAGAUUGCAUAAGGGCUUCGUGAUUUUGGAAAAAUCUUGGAUAAACCGCCGAUAAAAUCCAGCAUGACCCAGAAAGCUUUGAAUCCCCUUUAUUGUAGUGGGCGGUGGCAAUUUCUCUACGGUAUCAAUUUUUGCCUUAUCAACCUCUAUGCCUUUAGCUGAAAUUUUAUGCCCUAGGACUAUCCCUUCUUGCACCAUAAAAUGGCAUUUCUCCCAAUUCAAAACCAAAUUGGUUUCUUCACAUCUUUUCAAAACUAAUGCCAAAUUAUGUAAACAAGAAUCAAAUGAUGAGCCAAAAACAGAAAAGUCAUCCAUAAAAACCUCAAUGAAGCGCUCCACCAUGUCCGAAAAGAUGCUCAUCAUGCAACGUUGAAAGGUGGCAGGGGCGUUACACAACCUGAAAGGCAUGCGCCUGUAUGCAAAAGUGCCGAAUGGGCAUGUGAACGUCGUCUUUUCUUGAUCUUCAGGUGCAAUUGGAAUUUGAUUAUACCCAGAAUAUCCAUCUAAAAAACAAUAAUAUGAAUGCUCAGCAAGUCUUUCCAACAUCUGAUCAAUGAAAGACAAGGGAAAGUGAUCUUUCCUUGUCGCAGUGUUCAAUUUCCUGUAGUCUAUGCAGACAUGCCAUCCUGUAGUUGUUCUUGUCGGGAUCAACUCAUUCUUAUCAUUUUUCACCACUGUAAUACCCCCUUUUUUCGGUAGGACUUGAACUGGACUCACCCAACUACUAUCUGAAAUCGGGUAAAUUAUUCCAGCAUCUAAUAACUUUAAUAUUUCAGCUCGCACAACUUCUUUCAUAUUCGGAUUUAAUCGACGCUGAUGCUCAACUGAAGGUUUAAAAUCAUCUUCCAUCAGAAUACGGUGCAUACACAUGGAACGGCUAAGUCCCUUAAUAUCUGCAAUAGUCCACCCUAUUGUCGUUUUAUGCUCCCUCAAAACUCAUAGUAAUUUAUCUUCUUCUAGUUUACUCAAAUUUGCAGCAAUAAUCACAGGAAGAGUUUCAAAAUUACCCAAGUAUGCAUAUCUUAAGUGGGAAGGUAGGGGCUUCAAUGUGAGGGUUGGUGCAGUAAUGACACUGGGUUGUGGCUUGGAGGUUGUGACGCUAAGCUCCUCAAAUUCGCGCCACCUUCCAGGGGGGCGCGGUUUCAUUGCUUCCAAAAAGUACACCAUCUCAGAAAUUUUAGGAUCCUCAUGCUCAGUAGUAACGGAAUGCACAAGGCAAGCCUUCAAUGGAUCAUAUGGAUGUUCUUCUUUAAAUUUUUCAGAGACAACUUUUUCCACUAUAUCCACUCGGAAGCAAGAGUCUGAUUCCACUGGGUACUUUGUUGCUUCAAAGACAUUGAAGGUCACCUGCUCAUCAGCCACUCGCAAAAUUAAUAAACCUUUGUCCACAUCAAUUAAUGUCUUCCCGGUUUUUAGAAAGGGGCGGCCUAAGAUAAUAGGGGUUUCGGCAUCUUCUUCCAUGUCUAAAAUCAAAAAAUCUGCUGGAAAAAUGAGCUUAUCAACUUUGACUAACACAUCCUCAAUUAUGCCUUUGGGAUAUGUUAUGGACCUGUCCCCCAUCUGCAAAGAAACAGUGGUUGGGUGAAUUACCCCCAACCCAAUAUGUUUAGCAAUAGAAGAAGGCAUUAGAUUAAUACUGGAUCCUAAAUCACAUAAAGCUUUUUCAAAGUAAGUGGUUCCAAUAGUGCAAGGUAUAGUAAAACUCCCUGGAUCCUUUAGCUUAGGUGGUAGCUUCCUCUGCAAAAUAGCACUGCAUUCUUCGGAUAAUUUCACUAUCUCAUGUUCGCCCAAUUUCCUCUUCUUUGAUAUAAUAUCCUUCAUGAAUUUGGCAUAACUCGGCAUUUGCUCCAAAGCAUCGGCAAAAGGAAUAUUUAUUUGUAAUUUCUUGAAGAUAUCAAGAAAUUUCAAAAAUUGGGCAUCCACUUUGUUUUUUCGAAGACGUUGAGGGAACGGGAUUGGCGGUACAUAUGGCUUUACAAGGGCAGCAGGUUGAGAUAAUUUCUCUACAGUAGCAAGUUCAAUUUCUGGAGACAUUUCAUCAAGUUGUGCAGUAGUUCCAGUAGUGAUAGACGACGACGACGGCACGUUAGUAAUUUCUGAUGUCUCUGCAGUUUGUUGAUGGAUAUUAUUUUCUUCAUCCAAGUCUACUGCUGUUUUUAUUGGCCUCCCAUUCCGAAGAGUUAUCGCCUCCGCAUGUUCUUAGUUUUUUGGAUUAAUCUCUGUUUGGCUUGGCAAAGCUCCAUUUACUCUUCCUGUCAAUACAUUAGCUAGCUGGCCCAUCUAAACCUCCAAGUUUCGAAUAGAGGCAGCUUGGUUCUGAAGGGUCGUCUCGGUUUUGCUCAUAAAUUGAUUUGUAUUGACAGAGAGAGUGUUGACAUUUCCAGCAAGUUGAGUUAUUAUAUCCUCCAAUCCAUGCUUCUUUUCUUGAGGUGUGAAACCAGGUGGAGGUCCCUGUACAUUUUGGUUAUUACUCCAUGAAAAAUUCGGAUGGUUCUUCCAUCCUGGGUUAUAAGUGUUGGAGUAAGGAUUAUUCCGUUGUCGAUUAAAAUCAGAGACUUGAUUCACUUGUUCAGAUGUUGAUGUGAAUGGACUAGCUCCACACUCGUUGCCAUGAUGAGGUCCUGCACAAAAUUCACAACUUAAAUUAGUAGACUGAAUAGCAUUAACAUUUAAAAUACCAAGUUGUUUAGACAUAGUAGAAAUUUGUGCAGUUAACGCAGAUAUGGCGUCAAUCUCAUGAAUUCCAGCUUUCUUUGGUGUUGAUCUCUCACUAGGCCAUUGAUAGUUAUCUGACGCCAUCUCUUCCAGCAAGUUAUACGCUUUAGUUUCUGUUCUUCCCAUCAAAGCUCCUCCGGCUGCAGCAUCAAUUGUUGUUUUGCUUGUAUUGUUCAAACCAUUGUAGAACGCUUGAACUUGCAUCCAAGUAGGUAGGGCAUGAUGUGGGCACUUCCUUAGCAUAUCCUUGUAUCUGUCCCAUGCUUCAUAAAAAGGUUCCAUGUCAUUCUGAGCAAAUGACAUGAUGUCAUUCCUGAGUUUCGCAGUCUUUGCAAGAGGAAAGAAUUUAGCUAAAAAUUUAUUGGCCAAGUCGUCCUAUGUAGUAAUCGAAUUAGGUGGUUGAGAAUUCAACCACGACUUUGCCUUUUCCUUUAAUGAGAAAGGAAAAAGCCUUAAGCGAACAACAUCAUUGGUAGCUCCAUUGCACUUAAAUAUGUCACAUAUCUCCAAGAAAUUAGAGAUAUGGCUAUUAGGGUCUUCUUGAGGUAAACCACAAAAGAUGGAGGAUUGCUGAAUCAUUGAAAUUAUGGCUGGUUUGAUUUCAAAAUUAUUGGCAUCAAUGGUUGGACGACGAAUGCUCGAUGGUGAUGCCACCACAGAUGAGACAUCAUAGUCCCUUACUGGUUUUGCUUCCUCAGCCAUAGGUGAUGGCUUUUCCAAUAUUGCGUCCUUGCCCCUUUUGAGUUUGUUAAGCUUGUGAAGCGUUCGCUCGAUCUCUAGAUCUAAUGGUACAAGCACAAGACUCUGCGAACGUCUCCCAAAACUCAUGCACUAGGUGAAGUACCUAAAAAAACAAAAAACAAAAUUCAAAUUAAAAAAAUUCAAAUUAAAAUCCAAAUCAAUCUAUAUCGAUAUUAAUAAAAUUUAAAACACUCCCCGACGGGGGUGCCAAAAACUUGUUGUGAUAUUUAUUGCAAGCGCACAAUUCGCACAAGUAAUAUAGUGAUGACUGAAGUGUCGUUCCCACGAAGAGUGAUUUAAUUUACCAAGUACCGAUUGUGAUUAACCCAAGACUUUAUUUGAACAAUUGAUGAUGAGAUUUGAUUGAUUAAUUAACUAAAACAAUGAAUAAAAACAAGCGUAGAAAAAUAAAGUAGUGAGAUUCAAGUUAUGAGAGCACUAGAGCUUCCGAUUUCACCAUAGCCAAUUCUACCCAAUUCCCUUAGCAUGUUAAUCCUAAUUAUUCUCUAUGUUGACAGUUGAUUUUCCCUACUUUAUUCGAUACUCCAUCCCUGGUUAUAUCAAAAGUAUUCUCAUUACCAACCCACUCUAUCCAUAGUAAUGGAAUUAAGAUAAUAAGAACCCAUUAAAUUCCUUGGAAAACCUACAAAACAACCACAUAAGUCAUGACAAACAUCCCUGUCUAAUCAUGUAACUCAUGGCAUCUAUUACAAGAAGCAACCCCAAAUUGGAUAUUCCUAUCGUCAAUUUAGCAUCAAAACAAUUAAAUGUUGGCCAAACAUUCAAAGCAUUAAGCAUGGUAAUAAAUACUCAAGAUGGAAAAAAUACUUGGAAUUAACAUCGACUAAAGUAAUUGAGUAUUCAUGGCUAGGCUACAUCGUAGCCCUAGCAAGAAGAAAUUAGUUCAUGACAACUUUAAUAAAAACCAUGAUAAAUAGUAUCAUAGGAAAGAAGUAACCAAUUGAAGAUUUGAUCUCUGCACGACAGCAACUCUAGCUCCAGGUUGUCUUCUUUGUCUCUCUAAAACUCUCUCAACAAUAGAUGAUGGGUAGAUGAUGGAGGAUGGAUGAUGGGUAAUGGAUCCUUUCAACAAUGACCUAAACUCCCUAUUUAUAAAACUCCUAGAAAUCCUACCUAAGGAAUAAUUACAAUUGUUAUAAAAAUAGGAUUCCUUCUAAAAUAAGGUCUUCUUUAUUUCUUCUUGUUUGACUUGAUAAGACUUGCACCAUCUUGAACUAGGAAAUUUGACAACAUUCCUUGCAACAAAAGGAAUGACUUGGCUUCUUUUUAAUUGAUCUUCAUCUCCUUGCCUUUUUUAGCACAUUUUCUCCUAUUUCACAAUUCCUUCACAAAUCUCACAAAACCAAUUAAAAACAACCAAUUUAAUCUAAAAAAUUAAUAAAUAAAUAAACAAAGGAGGCAUAAAAUAUAUAUAUAUAAAAUAUAGACUUAUCACUAUAUAUAUAUUCUUUACAAAAAUUUAAAGCUCCUUAAAGCCCAUAGAAACCGGUAAAGUCACAGUUUUUUUGACUUUUGAAUAUGGGCAAUACACGAGAAGAUGGACAGUAUUUUGAUAACUCUGUUUAGACUAAAAGCUAAGGACUGUCUAUUAACAAAUAAUUCCAACAUGCAACCUUUUUAAUUAGUCUACUUCCUGAUUGCAGAUGGGGAAGAACUCCACUUAAUGAAGCCCGCAUAGGUGGAAAUAAGAAACUAAUCAAACUGUUUGAAGUUGCUAGAACUUUGUAGUUGUCAGAGUUAUCUAAUCAAUAUCAUCAAGAAAUUAGCUAGCUAAGCAUUUCUCUGAUCAAAAUGAUAAAUUGUCGAUCGGCAAUACAUUUAUCCUUUGAUUAAAUGAUAAAUGUUUAUAAGACUUGGAACAAAAGUUCUGAGAUGUUAUAUGUGUGAAUUUUGUUAGAAUCUUUAAUUCUCUUUUCGAUUUUCUAAUAUGCGUACCUUGGAAAAUAUGAAUUGAACUAUUAUUAUUGUUGAUCUGACUUGGCAAUUCUCAGCGUCAAUUAUUCUUACUAGGCUUGUAAUAAUCAAGGAUCGAGUAAUUAAUUAAUUAAAGCUCUUGAAUCAUGGAAGUAAUGCAUGAAUGCAUCAAGUAAUCCGGAUCAGAAUAGUAAAACCAAAGAAGCACAACUUUUAUUCCCGCAGAUAGUCUUAGCCUAGGUUACAUAAAUUAAUGCAUGAAUGCAUGAGCAGCAGCUGCAUGCAAUAUUAUUGAACCCAAAUCACAACAAAAGGAAAACUUAAGACAAUGCCACUUUCGCAGGGAACGCGAUUGCAUUUAGCGUAUGCAACAAGCCUUUUAAACCUAUAGGUGACCCUGAUAGGACGAGUGAAGUCUCGUGAGGGUUUCCAGUGACGCUACCCACAAACAUCGUAUUAACUUAACAGGAUGAUCAUCCUGGAAGUUUUUCGACAAUGAAGAAAUGUUCAUGGGUGGGGCCUCCAGGUUCUGCAAUGAGGGCAUUUUCGAACUCGUUUCCAGAUUUUGGCUUUAAAAGGUUUCCCAUUUUCUCAUGGUGGAACUUGUAUAUGCCUUCGGUGUACGGUCCUGGUGGUUUCACAACCUCAGGCUUGAAGAGUGUACAUGACCACAGCGUUUUAUUUGGCUGUUUCUCGUCAGCCCCGGCCACAAUCCACGAACUGUCUUGGCUUGCCGUUAUCCAGUAUUUGUCGUUGUAGGUGGAUUUUAUAUGCACCAGACUGGGGAGGUUUACGUCCUUCUCCACUUUGAACCUUGCGUAUUUGCUCUGAACAUCCUCUCCGGAGCAUUGGAGAAUAUCUUGCAUCUUUUCGGUGGCUUGGUCUUUGUAGACCAAGUAUUUACCGCUCGUGAAUGAUUUAAGAGCAAUGAACUUUGGUAAUUCUGCCAUUUCUGAUGAUCUCUCGCUCGCGCUUCAAUUUUUUUUUAUGUAAACUCACUUCUCUCUCUCUCUCUC
rnacentral:lncRNA from 1 species